GAUGAACGCUGGCGGCGUGCCUAAUACAUGCAAGUCGAGCGAACAGAUGAGGAGCUUGCUCCUCUGACGUUAGCGGCGGACGGGUGAGUAACACGUGGAUACCCUCCCUUUAAGACUGGGUUAACUUCGGGAAACCGGAGCUAAUCCCGGAUAUUUUAUUGAACCGCAUGUUUCAAUAGUAAAAGACGGUUUUCCUGUCCUUUAUAGAUGGAUCCGCGCCGCAUUAGCUAGUUGGUAAGGUAACGGCUUACCAAGGCAACGAUGCGUAGCCGACCUGAGAGGGUGAUCGGCCACACUGGAACUGAGACACGGUCCAGACUCCUACGGGAGGCAGCAGUAGGGAAUCUUCCGCAAUGGGCGAAAGCCUGACGGAGCAACGCCGCGUGAGUGAUGAAGGUCUUCGGAUCGUAAAACUCUGUUAUUAGGGAAGAACAAAUGUGUAAGUAACUAUGCACGUCUUGACGGUACCUAAUCAGAAAGCCACGGCUAACUACGUG
rnacentral:rRNA from 1 species